rnacentral:rRNA from 1 species
CAGCCGCCGCGGUAAUACCGGCGGCCCGAGUGGCGGCUACUGUUAUUGGGCCUAAAGCGUCCGUAGCCGGGCUGGUAAGUCCUCCGGGAAAUCUGGUCGCUUAACGAUCCGACUUCCGGAGGAUACUGCUGGCCUAGGGACCGGGAGAGGCCGAGGGGAUUCCCGGGGUAGGGGUGAAAUCCUGUAAUACCGGGAGGACCACCUGUGGCGAAGGCGCUCGGCUGGAACGGGUCCGACGGUGAGGGACGAAGGCCAGGGGAGCGAACCGGAUUAGAUACCCGGGUAGUCCUGGCGGUAAACGAUGCGGACUAGGUGUCGGGCAAGCUAAGGGCUUGUCCGGUGCCGCAGGGAAGCCGUUAAGUCCGCCGCCUGGGGAGUACGGCCGCAAGGCUGAAACUUAAAGGAAUUGGCGGG